AGGAAGGUGGGUAUGUUAAUAGCAUACUCAUUUGACGUUAGCUGCAGAAGAAGCACCGGCUAACUCCGUGCCAGCAGCCGCGGUAAUACGGGAGGGUGCGAGCGUUAAUCGGAAUUACUGGGCGUAAAGCGCAUGCAGGUGGUUUGUUAAGUCAGAUGUGAAAGCCCGGGGCUCAACCUCGGAAUUGCAUUUGAAACUGGCAAACUAGAGUACUGUAGAGGGGGUAGAAUUUCAGGUGUAGCGGUGAAAUGCGUAGAGAUCUGAAGGAAUACCGGUGGCGAAGGCGGCCCCCUGGACCAGAUACUGACACUCAGAUGCGAAAGCGUGGGGAGCAAACAGGAUUAGAUACCCUGGUAG
rnacentral:rRNA from 1 species